AUGCGUCAGAGGGUUUAUGAUAACAGAGCAAUGCGAGUGGUCAACGAUUUCUGGGAUUUCUAUACAUGCGUUGAGGGUCAGAAGGAUCAUGCAAAUGUGGUGGUUGAGAAUAUUGCCAAGAAACUAGUCCACGACAUGCACUAUGAGGAGCGCAUCCAGUUAGUGGUCAAGUAUCACGCGGACUAUCUCAACUAG
rnacentral:rRNA from 1 species